rnacentral:tRNA from 1 species
GGGCGAUUAGCUCAGUUGGUAGAGCAAGGGACUCUUAAUCCCUGGGUCCACGGUUCGAGCCCGUGAUCGCCCACCA